rnacentral:lncRNA from 1 species
GUCCAAUUGGGUCAUCAGGAGGGAUCAGCCAAUCGUGAAAAAUAAAAUGGACUACUUUAAAAUGGAGAUUGCCUCAAUUCGCUUAAUUCACCCGACGUGACACGUCACUUCCAGCUGAAUGAAUGGGAAACAGAGGCCGGAAACCUAGGCAACAUAGUCAAAAGUUGUACUGCUGCGUCCCUGGAUGUAACUCCUACAAAAGGAGGGAGUGAUGCAGAGAAUUAACUUUUCACAGUUUCCCCAAAGACUGCAAUCCGACGUCAAUGAGUGGUGAAAGUAAAGAGUUGUCAAACCACAUUAUAAGUUAACUGACAACAACCAAAGUGUGUUCAAAACACUUUGUUGUGGACUCCUUUUUAAAGACAAUAAGUGGGAAACGGAUGCUAAAGGAGCAGGUUGUGCCGACUGUGUUCACCUGGAUGUCCACCCCAAAGCCUGGCAGGAAGACCAUCAUCAGAAAAGCUGCAAGUGAGGCUACCCAUCAUGGAAAGGAUGCACCUGCUGAGGAGCCAGAUGAGCUAAGGUAGUUGUUUAUUAUUACAUAUGUAUCUUUUCUGUAAUUAUCAAUAGUUCAUAGCAGGUAUAUGUAACCAAAUCUUGAAUCUACAGUGACUCACUGGAUCAGGAUCCUCAAGCUGAGAACAUGGCUUGCCAAAUCAUGGUCAGGUAUAAACUUGCUAUGUGAACUUCAGUUACUUUAGUGUUUUUGUGAGUUUACAAUAUUUGGUUUAACCUCGGUCACUAGCUCCUAUUUACAAUCAUUCACAAUGAAUACAUCAGUAUCUGCCCGUCUACUCUACAUAAAGGCCAUGCAAGUUCAUUUUGAGUUGUUUUUCUGUAAGCGUUCUACUAACAGAAAAGGAACAUGUAUUAAUUUGCGUGGCCUGUAUUUGGAAUAGAAGAUGUAGAGCUGAUAGUAUUCAUUUUAAGAGCAUGUAGUUGGGCAGCUUGAAGAGGCACGCAAUGAGGUCGCUCGUCAAGCCGAGGAAAUUGUGAAGCUUCAGGCAAACCAGUUCCUCCUUCAAAGCUUCCUGUGUGACAAGAAGAACAACACGUUUUACAUGGGAUUUAGGGACUACAGUACUCUAAAAGGUGUUUUUCUGGCAUUACAGCCAACAGCAGAGACCAUGGUUAGAUGGAGUCAGGUACAGCGCUUAAACAAAACAGAUGAACAC